rnacentral:rRNA from 1 species
AAUCAACGCUGGCGGCGUGCCUCAGACAUGCAAGUCGAACGAUUAAAGCUCUCUUCGGAGAGUGUAUAGAGUGGCGCACGGGUGAGUAACACGUAAGUAAUCUACCUUUGAGUGGGGAAUAACAGUCGGAAACGACUGCUAAUACCGCAUAAUGCAGCGGCAUCGCGAGAUGACAGUUGUUAAAGGAGCAAUCCGCUUAAAGAGGAGCUUGCGGCAGAUUAGCUAGUUGGUAAGGUAAUGGCUUACCAAGGCUACGAUCUGUAUCCGGUCUAAGAGGACGGUCGGACACACUGACACUGAAUAACGGGUCAGACUCCUACGGGAGGCAGCAGUCGGGAAUUUUGGGCAAUGGGCGAAAACCUGACCCAGCAACGCCGCGUGAAGGAUGAAGUAUUUCGGUAUGUAAACUUCGAAAGAAUAGGAAGAAUAAAUGACGGUACUAUUUAUAAGGUCCGGCUAACUACGUGCCAGCCGCCGCUGUAAAAC